GACGAACGCUGGCGGCGUGCUUAACACAUGCAAGUCGAACGAUGAAGCCCUGCUUGCAGGGUGGAUUAGUGGCGAACGGGUGAGUAACACGUGGGUGAUCUGCCCUGCACUUCGGGAUAAGCCUGGGAAACUGGGUCUAAUACCGGAUAUGACCCUCCUUUAGUGUGGGGGGUGGAAAGCUUUAGCGGUGUGGGAUGAGCCUGCGGCCUAUCAGCUUGUUGGUGGGGUAAUGGCCUACCAAGGCGUCGACGGGUAGCCGGCCUGAGAGGGUGAUCGGCCACAUUGGGACUGAGACACGGCCCAGACUCCUACGGGAGGCAGCAGUGGGGAAUAUUGCACAAUGGGCGAAAGCCUGAUGCAGCGACGCCGCGUGGGGGAUGAAGGCCUUCGGGUUGUAAACUCCUUUCGCUAGGGACGAAGAUGUAUUUUGACGGUACCUGGAGAAGAAGCACCGGCUAACUACGUGCCAGCAGCCGCAGUAAAAC
rnacentral:rRNA from 1 species